CGGAGUGUAGCGCAGCCUGGUAGCGCACCUGAUUUGGGAUCAGGGGGUCGCAGGUUCAAAUCCUGCCACUCCGACCA
rnacentral:tRNA from 7 species